CCGGGUUCUCUGCUCCGGAUUCCGCUGACAGGAGCAGGAAUCUGCAGCUCCUGAGGGAUCUUCAUCCCGCUUGAGAUGUGUGUAAAGGGUCCAAGCCCAGCCCUGUUCACUGUGCCCGAGGGAUGUAUCACCAAGCUGAAGGUUUAAUGUGUGUUUUCUGGAGCUCAAGGGCAGGGAAGCAGAUGUGUGUGGGUUUUCCUGCUUAUAAUUCACCACGUACUCUGCUCUGAAUGAGAAGCUGGUGCAGCACACGGGGAUUCAAACCUGCAUAGACCUGGCUGUGCUCUCAUUGCCCCUGGUGGAGUCUGGAGAAGUGCAUUUGCUAGCAGUGAAGGUACCUAUGAUUAGCUCAAGUGCUGUGAUUCCACUGCAGGCUCUCUGCCACCCACCAGCCUGCAGAGUAUUGGCUGUGUCUUCUGCAUUGCUCCCUGGAGAACAGAGCUUUCCUUAUC